CAAUAGCGUAUAUUAAAGUUGUUGCGGUAAAAAAGCUCGUAGUUGGAUUUCUGUUGAGAGCGACCGGUCCAUACCAUGUAUGCGUAUCUGGCUUGCUCUCGGCAUCCUCUCGAUAGACGUUACUGCGCUUGAUUGCGUGGUGCGGAUCUCGGGACUUUUACUUUGAGGAAAUUAGAGUGUUCACGGCAGGCUUUCACCAGAAUACAUUAGCAUGGAAUAAUACUAUAGGAUCUUGGUUCUAUUUUGUUGGUUUCUAGAAUUGAGAUAAUGAUUAAUAGGGACAAUUGGGGGCAUUCGUAUCAACACGUCGGAGGUGGAAUUCUUGGAUUGUGUUGCGACGAACUACUGCGAAAGCAUUUGCCAAGGAUGUUUUCAUUGA
rnacentral:rRNA from 1 species